rnacentral:rRNA from 1 species
GUUUGAUCCUGGCUCAGAUUGAACGCUGGCGGCAGGCCUAACACAUGCAAGUCGAACGGUAAAGAAGCUUGCUUCUUACGAGUGGCGGACGGGUGAGUAAUGUCUGGGAAACUGCCUGAUGGAGGGGGAUAACUACUGGAAACGGUAGCUAAUACCGCAUAACGUCGCAAAACCAAAGAGGUUCGUCUUGCCAUCGGAUGUGCCCAGAUGGGAUUAGCUAGUAGGUGGGGUAACGGCUCACCUAGGCGACGAUCCCUAGCUGGUCUGAGAGGAUGACCAGCCACACUGGAACUGAGACACGGUCCAGACUCCUACGGGAGGCAGCAGUGGGGAAUAUUGCACAAUGGGCGCAAGCCUGAUGCAGCCAUGCCGCGUGUAUGAAGAAGGCCUUCGGGUUGUAAAGUACUUUCAGCGGGGAGGAAGGGAGUAAAGUAAUCUUUGCUCUUGACGUUACCCGCAGAAGAAGCACCGGCUAACUCCGUGCCAGCAGCCGCGGUAAUACGGAGGGUGCAAGCGUUAAUCGGAAUUACUGGGCGUAAAGCGCACGCAGGCGGUUUGUUAAGUCAGAUGUGAAAUCCCCGGGCUCAACCUGGGAACUGCAUCUGAUACUGGCAAGCUUGAGUCUCGUAGAGGGGGGUAGAAUUCCAGGUGUAGCGGUGAAAUGCGUAGAGAUCUGGAGGAAUACCGGUGGCGA